rfam:Hypholoma sublateritium FD-334 SS-4 unplaced genomic scaffold scaffold_256, whole genome shotgun sequence.
GACUGGAUAGCUCAGUGGUUAGAGCAUCCCCCCUAGUUUGGGAAAGGUCCUUGGUUCAAACCCAGGUCUAGUCA